AUGAAUUUGUCGAGGUGUUUUAUUUUGCAGCAGGUCUAUGUGAAGUUCAGGUCAAAGGUCAUGCUGCGGAGGGAGUGUGACCUGUUUACGCCCAGAGACGUGUCUGAGGAUGACUGUGAGGAAACACGGCUGUGUGAACACUGUGGGAAACACAGAGCCAUGAUAACCAGGUACUCAGAGGGAUACGGAACAGAGGAGGAGUGUGUGUUCUCUGACCCUCAGGGGGAAAGUGAUGCAGACGCAGACAUUGAGGACACAGACUGCAGACUCCACGAGCCCGGUUCUCUUCAGCGGAUAAGCUCGCGGCGACGAAAGCGGCCGCAGGUUGCCCGCCAGGACACUACGGAGAGUGAAGACGAUGGUGGGCGGAGUCACAGGUCGCAUCGCUGGAACCUCAGGCUGAGUCCUGACCGAGCCCACAGUCGGACCAUCCUGGAGGAGAGCAUAUCACAGGUCCGCCCUCUGGUCAUCUGCCGGCCGAGCGUUCAGCCAGACUCCACUGCAGUCAAACCUCCACCACGAUCCAAACUCAAGUCUCUGUGGCCGCCGUUGCUUCCUCUCGCACUCGUGCUCUUCCUCUCUCUUCCUCUGUCUCUCUCCCUCCUCAUCCUCAUCGUGUCCUUCCUCCUGCCCUGGACCACGGCCUGACCCCAACAUUCCUGACAGAGGAGAAAAUGAUGGACUCAAUAAUCAGCAGACAUCAGAUAUGACAUCAGAUUUUAUAGUUUGGGGUAGUUGAAGGUACAUUUCCAUUACAGAAACUUUCCCCAGGUCUUGCCAAGCAUUGUUUUGGUUUGGAGUAAGAACUUUUAAAAAGACCAGGUCAUUGGAGGGGCAGGGUUUGCAGAGCGGAAGUCUGACUGGAUGAAAAGUUGUCUCUCAUAAAUAUUGCUAAUAUAUCUACACAAUGGGGGCUUUAACCAACAUGGAGAAUGACCGUUGGAUUGACAGAGGUCAGACAUACUCCUCCCUAGUUUGGUUGUGGAUGAAGUCAGGCACAUUGUUUUGGCUAUAGUUUUUUAAGUCACAGGAAAACAUCCGAUACAAUAGUUUCCAGGUAGAAAAUAAAUCUGUACUAAAUGUUUCUAACA
ensembl:lncRNA uncharacterized LOC114480509